AGAUUGAACGCUGGCGGAAUGCUUUACACAUGCAAGUCGAACGGCAGCACGGGGGGCAACCCUGGUGGCGAGUGGCGAACGGGUGAGUAAUACAUCGGAACGUGCCCAGUCGUGGGGGGAUAACUACGCGAAAGCGUAGCUAAUACCGCAUACGAACUCUGGUUGAAAGCGGGGGAUCGCAAGACCUCGCGCGAUUGGAGCGGCCGAUGGCAGAUUAGGUAGUUGGUGGGGUAAAGGCUCACCAAGCCGACGAUCUGUAGCUGGUCUGAGAGGACGACCAGCCACACUGGGACUGAGACACGGCCCAGACUCCUACGGGAGGCAGCAGUGGGGAAUUUUGGACAAGUGGGCGCAAGCCUGAUCCAGCCAUUCCGCGUGCAGGAUGAAGGCCCUCGGGUUGUAAACUGUCUUUUGUACGGAACGAAACGCGCUGAGUUAAUACCUCGGACGUAAUGACGGUACCGUAAAGAAUAAGCACCGCUAACUACGU
rnacentral:rRNA from 1 species